UACGUAGGUGGCAAGCGUUGUCCGGAUUUACUGGGCGUAAAGAGCGCGCAGGCGGUUGUUUAAGUUGAAUGUGAAAGCCCCCGGCUCAACUGGGGAGGGUCAUUCGAUACUGAUCGACUUGAAGGCAGGAGAGGGAAGUGGAAUUCCGGGUGUAGUGGUGAAAUGCGUAGAUAUCCGGAGGAACACCAGUGGCGAAGGCGACUUCCUGGCCUGUUCUUGACGCUGAGGCGCGAAAGCGUGGGGAGCAAACAGG
rnacentral:rRNA from 1 species